CACACGACUCUCGGCAACGGAUAUCUCGGCUCUCGCAUCGAUGAAGAACGUAGCGAAGUGCGAUACCUGGUGUGAAUUGCAGAAUCCCGUGAACCAUCGAGUCUUUGAACGCAAGUUGCGCCCGAGGCCAUCCGGCCGAGGGCACGCCUGCCUGGGCGUCACGC
rnacentral:rRNA from 1 species